UUGCUGCUAUGUAGGGAGCUGAGUGGGGAGGAGAGAGGGACAGAGAGCCUGCUUGCUUUAAAGGAACCAACCGGCUCCUCUCCUCUCCCGCUUUGCUCCUUUAAAGAAGCAGGCUCUCUGUCCCUCUCUCCUCCCCACUCAGUGGCUCUUCUCCCACUUUGCUGUU
rnacentral:miRNA from 1 species